GAUGGGGAGGCUGGGCACGGGAUGAAUGGACUCUCAGGGCCUCGGAGCGGAAGGAAGCGUGAAGGACAGGGGUAGCAGGAGACCCAAGCCAGGAUCUGCUGGCCAGAGACAGUUCUCCCCACACUACUUCCCCCUGGUCUGCUCCCUGGAGGCAGAGCAUCUAAUGGACUCUAAGCUCUGAGGGAGAAGGAGCCCCAAGAUGGCAAGAGCCUGGGUCCCUGAGUGACUGGGUGGAGCAUCUCCCCAGCCAUCCCUGCCACCCCAAGAAUGAAAUUCUGUGUGGAAUACAGAGACCGUGUCUUCAUGAAGGGACACAUUGGGCGGGCGCCAGCUUUGCGCAGCAGCCGCCCACCGCUGAGGCUCCAGGAGACGUCACAGUGCCCAGCCCUUCAACUCGGCCGUCUCCACCUGCACCCACCCCACCUGCCCCCACCCCACCUGCACCCACCCCACCGGGGCGCCGGAGGCAGGCAGGGAGAGUCCCGACUGUGGAAGAAACGCAGCAGUCGUGACAGGAGGCACCCUGUUAGUAGGCCCGCGGCCUGGGGAAAGUUAUAUAAAGUGACGAUCCACUGGAGGGUUCGAUGGGGGAAAGGAAACACAUGUAAUAAUUUCAACA